UACGUAGGGGGCAAGCGUUGUCCGGAAUCAUUGGGCGUAAAGAGCGUGUAGGCGGCCAGAUAAGUCCGCUGUGAAAUCUCGAGGCUCAACCUCGAGACGCCGGUGGAAACUGCAAGCUAGAGUCCGGAAGAGGAGAGUGGAAUUCCUGGUGUAGCGGUGAAUGCGCAGAUAUCAGGAAGAACACCCGUGGCGAAGGCGGCUCUCUGGGACGGUACUGACGCUGAGACGCGAAAGCGUGGGGAGCGAACAGG
rnacentral:rRNA from 1 species